rnacentral:rRNA from 1 species
UACGUAGGUGGCGAGCGUUAUCCGGAAUUACUGGGUGUAAAGGGUGAGUAGGCGGGUCUGCAAGUCAGGAGUGAAAUGUACGGGCUCAACCCGUACCGUGCUAAUGAAACUGCAGAUCUUGAGUGCGGAAGAGGUAAAUGGAAUUCCCGGUGUAGCGGUGAAAUGCGUAGAUAUCGGGAGGAACAUCUGUGGCGAAGGCGAUUUACUGGGCCGCAACUGACGCUGAUACACGAAAGCCAGGGGAGCAAACAGGAUUAGAUACCCUGGUA